GAAGAAGGGUCAGAGUCAGAGAUUUGAAGAUGCUACAGCUGGUGGCUUUUAAGGUGGAGGAAAGGGCCUCGGACCAAGGAAUGCCGGCCUGUUGUUGUAGUUAGUGCCCCCUAGUCAAUUCUGACUCCUAGUGACCCUGUGUACAGCAGAGCUGAAGCCUGCAUGGUCUUUUUGUGCCAUCCCUCUCACCUUCCAGCUCUAUAUCAGACAAUGUUCUGCUGCUAUCCAUAAGGUUUUCAUGGCCACUUUUUUCAAACGUGGGUGGCCAGGUCCUUCUUCCUACUCUAGCUCAGUCUAGAAACUCAACUGAAAUCUGAAACCUGUACUGGUAGCAUAGCUUUCAGCAACACACGGCUGCCACAGUAUGACAGCCCACAGAUGAGUAGUGUGACUCCCUGACUGGGAAAUGAAAACCCAGCUGUGGCGAUGAGACUGCUGAAUCUUAACCACCAGACCAUUAGGACUGGCAGGCAACCUGUAGAAGCUGGAAAAUGCAAGGAAACUGAUUCUCCUGUAGAGCCUCCAGAAGGAAUUCCACCUGGCUGACACCUUGAUUUUAGCCCAGGAAGACCCAUUCCGGCUUUCUGACCUCCACAACUGCGAGAAGAUAAACAGGUUUGGGCAAUCAUGAAUAAAGCUGCUAUAAACAUCUAUGUGCAGGUUUUUGUGUGGACGUAAGUUUACAACUAAUUUGCUGAAUACCAAGGAGUGCGACUGCUGGAUCAUAUAGUAAGAGUAUGUUUAGUUUUAUAAGAAGCUUCCAAACUAUGCCAUUUCACAUUCCACCAGCAAUGAAUGAGAGUUCCGACUGCUCCACAUCCUCACUAGCAUUUGGUAUUUCCAGUGUCCUAGAUCUUGGCUGUUCUAACAGGCAGUGCACAUCAGACUUCACUACUGGAUUGCAGAUGACUGUUGUCACCUUGAGAAACUAUUAAAUUAAUCAAUUUCUCCCCAAGGUUGGCAUUAACUACUGACAUUUUAAUUGCACAACAGUAUUAACAAUCCUUGUAAUGCUUCAAAUGUUUGUCUAAAGCUGUUCAUGGCCAGCUUUUGUGUGUUUAGAAUGGGAUUAGAUGAAGUUUGUUUAUUAUUGUGUUAAUUUCUUCCACAUCUUUCUUAUUCUGGGCACACUUUAAUAAAAUGCUGCUUUUUCUCAUGUACUUCUUAGGACUUGGGGAAAAAAAAAAACCAAACUCUGACCUUCUUUGUAUAGCUUUCUUUUAGUGAGGAUUUUAUCUUUCAACCAGAACCAGAAAGUGACUAAGUAAUUUCUCAGAACUAGUAUGAGCUCAUUUGGUCUUGCUUAGUUCUCUCGAGCAAUAAAAGUAGUACUUUUCAACCGUGUAUAUUUCAUGACACAUUUACAAAUUUGCUGCAGGCAGCAAAACAAGUUUCUGAUAGAGCAAAGCAGGAGAUAAACCUGACCACGGACACUGGGAAAAUUCUCAACAUGCAAACACCUUAGUCUAACAACUUCUCCUGACCACUGUGGAAGUGGAAGCAGAUUAUAUUCAAUGUGCAACAAACUUGUUUUGUUAGCCACCUUUUCAAAAAUAUUUAUCUCCCCUCUUUCCCUCCUUCCCAGUGACAACUCUAUGUCUACCUCUGUUUGCAGUACCCAAUCUCGGAUUUCUUCCCCUAACAUAUUUUUCACUCUGUGUCUGUUUUGGAGGGACACAGAAAAUAUUAGAAAGAACGUAAGAAUUGUAAUGAAGUAGAUCUAGGUCCUCAUGUAACUCCACUGCUGUGCUAUGUGAGUCAGAUCACUCAAGCUCUCUGAGCUGCAGUUUCGUUUUUUUUCUGAAAUAGAGACAAUAAUGCUUUAUGUGAGGACUAAACUAGAUAUGCAAAAAAAGAAAGUCAACAAAUUGUGUAUUUAUAAUAAGAGUCAAAGGGGAACUUUGGCUACACUGUUGCAGGGGUCCGUGGCCUCAGAAUAGCAUAAGAUUUGGUGCUGAACGUCCCUGCAGUCUGGCCCCUGAAAGUAGUAGAUAAAGGAAUUUAGUCUGAUUUUCUUUUUACUCCUUCUUUUAGGCAAACAUUUCAGUGUUUAUUGUAUCCCUUUCUGUUGGACAAUAAGAUUUGCAAAUAUGAGUUCAAAUUGCCAGGAAACUCAAUUUUCUUUUCUCCUCAUUUCUCUGAACUUUUCCCACAAAAACAUUCACAUAGGGUUCCUGACAUUAUAAAGAAAUAGAAGUUAUAGCAUAGACUGGGAAAAUAAUUUUCCUGGAAAGACCAGGACAUGAAAUCCCAAUCGAGACCAUCUAUUAGGAUUCUAUUUAAAUAAACUCAGAAAAAUUGUAUUUAACCAAAUUUCAAAAUAUAAAUUAUCUGUUUAUGCAUAAC
rnacentral:lncRNA from 1 species